rnacentral:rRNA from 1 species
AGAGUUUGAUCCUGGCUCAGGACGAACGCUGGCGGCGCGCCUAACACAUGCAAGUCGAACGGAGCUUAAAGAGCUUGCUUUUUAAGCUUAGUGGCGAACGGGUGAGUAACGCGUGAGUAACCUGCCCUAGAGUGGGGGACAACAGUUGGAAACGACUGCUAAUACCGCAUAAGCCCACGGUACCGCAUGGUACUGAGGGAAAAGGAUAUAUUCGCUUUAGGAUGGACUCGCGUCCAAUUAGCUAGUUGGUGAGGUAACGGCCCACCAAGGCGACGAUUGGUAGCCGGACUGAGAGGUUGAACGGCCACAUUGGGACUGAGACACGGCCCAGACUCCUACGGGAGGCAGCAGUGGGGGAUAUUGCACAAUGGGGGAAACCCUGAUGCAGCGACGCCGCGUGGAGGAAGAAGGUUUUCGGAUUGUAAACUCCUGUCGUUAGGGACGAUAAUGACGGUACCUAACAAGAAAGCACCGGCUAACUACGUGCCAGCAGCCGCGGUAAAACGUAGGGUGCAAGCGUUGUCCGGAAUUACUGGGUGUAAAGGGAGCGCAGGCGGGAAGACAAGUUGGAAGUGAAAACCAUGGGUUCAACCCAUGAAUUGCUUUCAAAACUGUUUUUCUUGAGUAGUGCAGAGGUAGAUGGAAUUCCCGGUGUAGCGGUGGAAUGCGUAGAUAUCGGGAGGAACACCAGUGGCGAAGGCGGUCUACUGGGCACCAACUGACGCUGAGGCUCGAAAGCAUGGGUAGCAAACAGGAUUAGAUACCCUGGUAGUCCAUGCCGUAAACGAUGAUUACUAGGUGUUGGGGGAUUGACCCCCUCAGUGCCGCAGUUAACACAAUAAGUAAUCCACCUGGGGAGUACGACCGCAAGGUUGAAACUCAAAGGAAUUGACGGGGGCCCGCACAAGCAGUGGAGUAUGUGGUUUAAUUCGAAGCAACGCGAAGAACCUUACCAGGUCUUGACAUCCGAUGCAUAGCACAGAGAUGUGUGAAAUCCUUCGGGACAUCGAGACAGGUGGUGCAUGGUUGUCGUCAGCUCGUGUCGUGAGAUGUUGGGUUAAGUCCCGCAACGAGCGCAACCCUUAUUGCCAGUUACUACGUUAAGAGGACUCUGGCGAGACUGCCGUUGACAAAACGGAGGAAGGUGGGGAUGACGUCAAAUCAUCAUGCCCUUUAUGACCUGGGCUACACACGUACUACAAUGGCGUUAAACAAAGAGAAGUAAGACCGCGAGGUGGAGCAAAAUC